rnacentral:rRNA from 1 species
CCUANGGGGGGCAGCAGUGGGGAAUUGUUCGCAAUGGGCGAAAGCCUGACGACGCAACGCCGCGUGGAGGAUGAAGACCUUCGGGUCGUAAACUCCUUUCGAUCGAGACGAACGGCCUCCGGGUGAAUAGUCCGGAGGAGUGACGGUACCGAGAGAAGAAGCCCCGGCUAACUCCGUGCCAGCAGCCGCGGUAAUACGGGGGGGGCAAGCGUUGUUCGGAAUUACUGGGCGUAAAGGGCUUGUAGGCGGCCAACUAAGUCAGACGUGAAAUCCCUCGGCUUAACCGGGGAACUGCGUCUGAUACUGGAUGGCUAGAGAUUGGGAGAGGGAUGCGGAAUUCCAGGUGUAGCGGUGAAAUGCGUAGAUAUCUGGAGGAACACCGGUGGCGAAGGCGGCAUCCUGGACCAACACUGACGCUGAGGAGCGAAAGCCAGGGGAGCAAACGGGAUUAGAUACCCCGNUANUC